GAUGAACGCUGGCGGCGUGCCUAAUACAUGCAAGUCGAGCGAACGGACGAGAAGCUUGCUUCUCUGAUGUUAGCGGCGGACGGGUGAGUAACACGUGGAUAACCUACCUAUAAGACUGGGAUAACUUCGGGAAACCGGAGCUAAUACCGGAUAAUAUUUUGAACCGCAUGGUUCAAAAGUGAAAGACGGUCUUGCUGUCACUUAUAGAUGGAUCCGCGCUGCAUUAGCUAGUUGGUAAGGUAACGGCUUACCAAGGCAACGAUUCAUAGCCGACCUGAGAGGGUGAUCGGCCACACUGGAACUGAGACACGGUCCAGACUCCUACGGGAGGCGGCAGUAGGGAAUCUUCCGCAAUGGGCGAAAGCCUGACGGAGCAACGCCGCGUGAGUGAUGAAGGUCUUCGGAUCGUAAAACUCUGUUAUUAGGGAAGAACAUAUGUGUAAGUAACUGUGCACAUCUUGACGGUACCUAAUCAGAAAGCCACGGCUAACUACGUG
rnacentral:rRNA from 1 species